AGAUUUGGUUGUAGAGCGCAACCAAGUAAAAAUAAAAAAAGCUCAAUUGAA
ncrna:unclassified sequences 6A RNA